rnacentral:piRNA from 1 species
UGGAUUAGCCUGUCCACCAUCUACCC